UAGAAAGUAAAAUGAAGGAAAAGUUUCCUCAUUUGUUUAUAUAAGAAUAACGAGAUUCUGGGGACAGAAUCCUUAUAAGGAGGGAGGAAUAUAACGCCUGAGAAUUUCGGAUUUUAAUGAAUUAAAUUUUUUUGAUUAUGUGGAUUAAAUGAAUUUAAUUGAUUAAUUAUGUGAGUAAGAUGUUUGAAGGUCGUUCUAUGACCUAGAAUGUGUG
rnacentral:lncRNA from 1 species